UACAGAGGCCUCGAGCGUUAGGCGGAAUCACUGGGCUUAAAGCGUGUGUAGGCGGACUUCUAAGUACCUUGUGAAAUCCCACGGCUCACCCGUGGAACUGCUUGGUAUACUGGUUGUCUUGAGCCUUCUAGGGGCGAGUGGAACAAAUGGUGGAGCGGUGAAAUGCGUAGAUAUCAUUUGGAACGCCAAUGGUGAAAACAACUCGCUGGGGAAGUGCUGACGCUGAGACACGAAAGCCAGGGGAGCAAACGGG
rnacentral:rRNA from 1 species